CCUACGGGGGGCAGCAGUGAGGAAUAUUGGUCAAUGGACGAGAGUCUGAACCAGCCAAGUAGCGUGAAGGAUGACUGCCCUAUGGGUUGUAAACUUCUUUUAUAAAGGAAUAAAACGAGGCACGUGUGCCUUUUUGCAUGUACUUUAUGAAUAAGGAUCGGCUAACUCCGUGCCAGCAGCCGCGGUAAUACGGAGGAUCCGAGCGUUAUCCGGAUUUAUUGGGUUUAAAGGGAGCGUAGAUGGGUUGUUAAGUCAGUUGUGAAAGUUUGCGGCUCAACCGUAAAAUUGCAAUUGAUACUGGCAGUCGUGAGUACAGUUGAGGUAGGCGGAAUUCGUGGUGUAGCGGUGAAAUGCUGAGAUAUCACGAAGAACCCCGAUUGCGAAGGCAGCUUACUAAACUGUGACUGACAUUGAUGCUCGAAAGUGUGGGUAUCAAACAGGAUUAGAUACCCUAGUAGUC
rnacentral:rRNA from 1 species